UAAAACGUUUCCAAAACAAAACAAAAAUCAAAAUUACGUUUCUACGUUUCGAAACGUUUCGUUUCCACGUAUUCAUUUCCGUUUCCAUACAACGUAUGUUAUUAUUUUGUUUUUUUAGGCAAAUUUUGGAUUUAUAUAUCCAAGCUUCUCCGUUGGACCGUGUUUGUCAAACCCAAAGAGCACGCCAAAUGAUGAUGUUCCUUGCACCAAAACAAAUGCGGAAGAUUUCGAUCAUUUUCUCAUAUUUCUGAAACAGUAAUUUAAAAAAUAAUUUCACAUUGAUAAAUGACAAUACUCGUUACUUUUCGUUGGAAUAUCUUGCAGCAUAGCGAUACUGAGUGUCUUGUUAAUUGAUGAAAUUUCCUAAGGAAUCUUAGAACAUACGAUGAAUAUCUUAUGGAAUGGACAAAAAUAAUUCGCGUCAAACACAAUUCUAAAAUAUCAAUACAUUAGACUCAAAUGAAAAUAAUAUGGAGAUUCGGGUUCAAACUGGUCUUAAUCACUAUAUCUCUUGUAUAUAAGUAUAUUGAUUAUAAAAGUCAGCUCAUUUGAAUAUGUUUUCAAAAUUAUUCUUUUAAUCUAUAACCUUGAUCAUUUUAAACAGGAGACCAAGACUUCUCUCUCUUCUCCGUGAGCUGAGAUAAAACUUUCGCCGGUGCUCUAUCGUUCUUUUUGAUUCCUGUUUUUGGGCUUCGGAUCCGGGAAGCCGCUACUCCUUAUGCAGGCUUUGCUGGCUCUGUUUCCAGGAGAAGGACGCUCUCUUCGCUUUGUUUCUCGCCGGCUUACGAUUCCGAAGUGUGGAAACUCCAAAGCCUAGCGUCGUCGGCUUUGAUUGUCACCCCUUUCCUCAAGGGUGUGACUUCAGCUUUGCUCGUUAUUCAUGUGCUCUCGGUUUGGCUCCCUCUGAAGAGAUCUCGAAUAGAUCGAGUGUUUCUCUUCGAUGGUGUUGACGUCAAACAAGAGUCGUGGAUGAUGGUGGUGAUAUUGGGUAUGGUUUCCGGUGAUGAGUUGCAUGUUCCCUCCGGUGAUGGAAGAAGGAGAAGGGGUUUGGCGACACGUGUGCCUCGUAGUUGAGGUCUCAACACGUAGGCCGUUGUGUUGUCGUUUGGGGAGGUGGCAUUUUUUUGGGCUUUGCUGGGCCGAGAGUUUAGGCUUUGGGCUUUAGUGCUCGACGUCUCUCGGUUUAUGACGUUGAAGACUAGAGCGUUGUGGUUGGUGUCUUUCUCACUUCCAGAUCUCGUCGCGGUGGCUCUUUGAACGGUGUGUCUUGUUUUCGGUUUGGUUCCGGUGGAUUUCCGAUUAGAGCUUCGUCGGCGAUGUGCAAAUCGGUGAAGUAUGGUGGCGAUUCAACUUUAGGAUGCGUGUCCCUACCUCGCUAAAGUCUAACGCGUGGAGAUACUUGAAUGGACCGUCCAUCUUUCUUUGGGCUUUGUUUUUGGUUGGGCUCGUUUUGGGUCUUUUGGUGUUUUAUUUUCUGGACCGGUUUUGGCCUUCCUUGUAUUGCUUUGUUUAAUUAAUAAUACUAGAUGGAAAAAAAAAAUCUAUAACCUUACAUUUCACUAAACAUUUAACAUAUAUCGCAAUAUGCAAACAGUGAACGAAUACGGCUGAUGUUUAACAUACAAGGCAGUCCGCAUAACUUAUAAAAGAAUUAUGAUAAUAAGGUAUUUCCUGUAACCAUCAUAUGUGAUUGAGAUGUAUGUAUUUUUGGUUUGCAUAUAAGUUUGUAAGUAAAUAAUAUAAACCGAAGAUGACUAAAAUAGUGGAUAUAAGCUGAAUCUAAAAAAACAAUUUAGAAAAUUAGGUUAUAAAUUUGGUUUUGGAACUUGAAAUAUUUGCACUUUUUUCAUUUUUGGAUCUAGCUAUAUGCAUUAUGUAUAAAAUUCUACAGGUAAAAAUGCUAACUAAUGCAUGUUUUUAGUAAUAUUUAUUCUCAUAUUAUACUACUAUUCACUAAACGCGGUAAAAGUAUUAGAAAAACUAUCGAAGUAAAUUAUAAUCUACGGUUUCUUUUUAUGCCCACCUCGAAGCAAACACAAUAAGUAUAAAAUUCUUCAUGAGAAUAAAGUGAUUACCUUUGGUUUCUUCUUGCGACUAGAAGAAACAAUGAAAAUGUUUCCCUUCUUUUUCCACGGCUUGUCUCUAUAUAAUAACAUAAUCUUGUUCGAGCCAAGAUGUCAUUAAACUUGUGUACCUUCUUCAAGCCACAUUCUCUUCUCCAUUUUAUUUUUCACUAUUUAUGGUUAUACAUAUCCUUCAAGCUUCCUUGGGGUUAUUAUCCCCAUAAACACAACUCCGAUCAAUCUGACAACUCGAAGAUGUAGAAGCGGCAUAUUCGUCUCCCAUGUCUGAAACCCUCUUCUGAUCUUUUUCUUCAUCAACUUGGCACUCCACGUUGCUUGUGUCCUUAGCAUUGUUCUGUAGAGAAGCAGAAGUUGUGGCCGCAUCCUCGUUGCUGAGCUGGGAAGCAACAAAUUUAUCGAGAACUCUCCAGUCUGUGACUUGGUCCAUCGCUUGCUCGUUCCCGCUAUUCAUGUAUAGAGAGCUGAAACUCUGAUUCCCUUGAUUAAUUUGCUCUUCAUGUGCGAGAUUUGACUGCUGCAAGUUAGCAAUCUCACUCGAGUUAUUAUCGUUGUUGCUUGUUCCGUAAGGAAGAGAGUUGCUACAAUUAGCUUGUUGGAUAUUAGGGCUUUCAAGCUGAGGAAGUUGAAUUACUGAUAAAGGGGAUUCAUGAAGAAGAUCAUGUUGUACCAGGUGGUUGUAUUGUAGCUCUAGCUCUUGCUUGCAUUGCAAGUUAGGAUUAUUGAGAAUGUAAGCAGAUGCAUUGAGGCCAUAUGGUAACUGCUGUUGGUGCUCGUACUGGUGGUGCUGCUGCUGAUUGGGGAGAAUCCGCCGUGGCCCGUUUGUCUCGAGCUCAGAGGCCAUAAAAGAGAGCUGAUCUCCAUACCAAUGUGAAGGCGAUGAGUCAUAAUCUCCCAUUCGUCUAACUGCAGCUAGUCUCUUCUUGAAAACCCUACACACGACCCAUCCUUCUUCCUACAACCAAAUAUCGUAUGAUGGGCCGGGAGAGAUUAGAGAUUUAGCAUAUAUAAAAAGAAAAUAAAGUGUAAAGGGAAGCUAUGUUGUAGGGUCGAUAUAGUACCUGAGGAGUUCCAUUUUCAUCAGUUUCUAAGCGGUAUUCAUGCAUGAUCCAAUCGGAUUUUUGUCCAUUUGGGGCUCUUCCCUUGUAAAACACAAGUGUUUUCCUCAUACCAAUAAGACUAUGCCUCAAGUAUA